UGUGGGACUAAAAGCAGACAUUGCCUCCGCAAGUCAUAAUUUGUAGUUUUUACUCGGAAAAAAAAAACCCAAAUGAAGCCAAGGACUCCGGUAUCUCCUCUGGCCAAACAAAAUGAAAACCCCUCCCUCUCGCCGAUGGAAUCAGUCCACUGGCAUCUACAGCACUCUCCAAACCCUAGCCCCCAAUAAGAUUUAAGAGACUAAUAUUGAAGAAAAACCAAAUUUUUUUCUUCUUCUGGCAAUACGAAGCCCUGACCCCUAGAUUGCCAUCGCUCUCUACCUCUUGAAGAAAGAAAUGGCUGAGCCCAAAGAUCUUUCUCGGAUCGAGUUGGUGUUUGGGAAAAUGGAUACUGAGGAUUAUGAAGGGCUUUUCGAUGAAACGCCCGCAUUGUUGGAUGUAUCUCCAUCGAAAAAUGUUGCUCAUUAGGGUCAUAGCUCGAGAGGUAUGUGAGCACUACAUUUUCCUCUUGAGGAGAUCAGACAAACAUUAUUGGAAAUUUAUGAGUCAAACUCCUCAUAAUCUGUAACAUCUUAAAUGCUCAAGGUGGCACUCCCUCUCUUUAGACCUCUAGGCUUCGAGAAUCCGCUUUUCAUUAAGCUAGUAAGAAAAUAAGUUGGAGUAAGACCAGUUAGAGAGUCAGCAGCUACAGUGGAUUUAUUUAUUUGUUUGUUAGUUUUUUGAAAGGAGGCACAGGUAAGACAACCACGCAAAGAAAAGACAUACUAAGUUCUAUCCUUGAUGAUAUAAUCCAUCAAAUCUUCAACAUCCUGAAUGCAAAGCACACUGCGACAUUCUCGAACAUAGCAACAUGUGUUGUCGUCUUCCCCCAAUCUCCACUUCGAUGAACUCCACUUCCCUCAUGAAGAUGAUUGCGAAGUACGUUUCAGUCUCCAGUUGAUCAACUUUGCUGAUCGAGUCCUUAUGUUCUCUAAUGUUGGGAACCUUAACCGCAUGUCAAUCUAGAUUCAUUGGGCCACCGACAUGGUUCGGAUCAGGAGUUGAUAUAUGCUGCAAAUGAAGCACAACUUUAGGGACCUUACUUUUUAUAUGGAGCAAGAGCAGCAAUUGAUGCUCCUGCUGAGUCUCUUUCACCUACAAUUGUCGAAGUGUUUGUCUUUCACAAUAUUUAUCACCAGAAUCUGCAUCGGCCUUCGGCUAAUUCCACACUUGCACCGCUUGAGGAAUUGACUCUUUGUAGGGUCAAGUUUGUUAACACUGCCAGAGAUGGCAUCUCCUUGUCUUGUCCAGUUGUCCACGAUUCAAGAUAUGGAAGAUGGAAAGAUGCAGUGGUCUGCACCAGGUAGAUGUCGAUUGUUCCAAUCUUGAGAUCUUUUCCAUGGAUGGAUGCAGGUGUCUCUGAGACCUUGUUGUUUCGGGUCAAAAACUUGUGACGAUCAACGUAAGUGACUUUUGUACACUAGCAAAGGGACCACUACUCUUCAAACCUGAGACUUUAUGUGGUCAGAUAAGCCUGUGGGCCGAUAAAAGUGCUCCAAGAUGUUUCCUUCUCAUGCUGAUGUGCAGCUUAGAUCGCUUGGGGGAAGAGAUCUUCUUCUUAGCCUUAAUAAAGCCAGACACUUGACGAUAGACUGCGCUAGUCUCUGGAGUUGUCUCAAGGAUGACACGCUGCCGGAUUCUUUGUAUCAAAAUCUUGAAACCCUACAACUUCUGGUGGAGUCGAGCAUGGCAAAUAUUGCAGCUACUUUGUACAAUCACUCAUAUGGUUCCCUAGUUUGGGAGGUGGACUUUAUCAAGUGCAUACUUGGAGCAGCGUGGCCAUUGCAGACGACGACAAUAACAACAUCAAGCCUGAUUCACAAUUUCUCUACGGUUGCUGUGGAGCUGCAUAAACUAUCAUCGGCAUCUCCUCGUGUGAAGCUACUUUUCAAGCCUGACUCACAAUUUCUCUACGAUUGCUGUCGAGCCGCAUAAACUACCAUAGGCAACUCCUCCUGUGAAGCUACUUUUCAAGCAAACGUUUGCUAAGUUGUAUCAUCUAACGUGGAAAUUGUUGUUAUGGAUUGGCUACAUUAGCUGUUUCCUUAGGAUAUUCAUUAAUAUUAUCUUCUUCCUUUUUAUUUC